AUGGCCUCGGGAUGCUCGCCGCGCGCGGAGGUGGAUCUGGUGGAGGCUUGUUCCCUGGAGGCAUCGGACGACUUGUGGAUGAUGGAGUCGGAGCUCCCCCGUGCGGUGCUCGUCACCGUCACCGGCACCCGCCCCGUCGUGGACCUGGCGUCUGCGGCGGUUGCGCUUCAUCGUGAGUUUGGAAUCGGCCCGGAGGACAUGUCGAUUCGUGCAUACUACCCUGAAGACUUCCUCGGGUUCUGCAAGGAUGGGGCUCUCCGGGAGCGCAUGGUGCAUGCUGGUAGGGCGUCGGCUUCGUGGUUCGAACUGAAGCUUCGGCCUUGGAUUCGGCAAGCUCAAGCCACCGCGGUGCAUCUGCCUUUCUUGGUUCCUGUCUCGCUUCGUGGAGUUCCGGCUCAUGCGUGGAGCCAGAGGACGGCUGCGGUGAUCCUGCGUGGCCUGGGCUUCGUGGUGGGAGUGGACAACAGCACAGCGUGCCGCCUUGACAUGGCUGAUUUCAGAGUAUGGCUAUGA
rnacentral:rRNA from 1 species